GACCAGGUCCGGUCCAGACAAAGAUAGCCUGAUGUAAAAUAUAAUCAAGUAUGGUAAGGCAUACUGGAUCAGGACCAGGUCCGGUCCAGACAAGGAUGGCCUGAUGUAAAAUACAACCAAGUAUGGUAAGGCAUACUUCAUCAGGACCAGGUCCGGUCCAGGCGAGGGUAGCCUGAUGUAAAAUAUAACGAAGUGUGGUAGGCAUACUGCAUCAGGACCAGGUCUAGAUCAAAUAAGAACAGCCUAGGUAGUAAAGAAUAUAGCCACUCCCUCUCUUCCCGUGGUUGUCGUAAGAGGCGACUAAGGGAUAACACAGUUCCACUACGACCUUGGAACUUAAGAAGCCGACCGAUGGCGGGAUAACCAUCUAACCGCUGACUUUGAAACACCCAGGCCAAAGAUGGGCAGCAGCGUCUUAGGUGCGACAAAGCCAGCCCUGCGGUCACCAACCUGCCUGCCCAGCGUGGUGACUAUGGACAAAACACGCGAGUUCACACCAUUUUUGGCGUGAACUUAUGGAGGCCUAUGUCCAGCAGUGGAUCUGUGAUCGGCUGAAAUGAUGAAGAUGAUUUAAGUUGUAUUUGCAUCAAAUCAGAUUAAUCUGGUGUUAAUUUUUUUCAACUGAACUCAGCCAGCAUAAAAUGUAUUAGUCAACAAUGUAAUAAAUAACAAUUUAAUUCAAUUCAAGAUAUUUUUGACCAAAAAUUUUAAUGAAUCUAAUCGUUUAAUAUUAUUAGUCUAGUAAAUACCAUAUAGCUGAGUAAAUAAUAAUAACUAUUAUAUUCGUAAUCUUCCA
rnacentral:misc_RNA from 1 species